rnacentral:tRNA from 1 species
UCCCUGGUGGCUCAGAGGUAAAAGCGUCUGCCUUUGAUGCAGGAGACCUGGGUUUGAUCCCUGGUCGGGAAG